rnacentral:lncRNA from 1 species
AACUUCAACCUUCAUAUUUAUCAAAGAACAAAAGAGAAGUAGAGAUCAGUCUUUGUAACCAACAAGUUAACUGACUCAAAUCCAUGAAACCAUUGUGUCCUCAAGAUUAACAUGAGGGCAUUUGAGGUUUUAUCAGAUCAAGAGUCAGUAGAUGAAAACAAGACCUACUACAUUGAUGGUUGCUCUUUGCAUCCAUAACAAUUAGUGGAGGAGAAAGAGUGUAUCCUCAAGAGGAAGAGGAUUUUCUCCUAACUAUCCCUAUUGAUGGCCCAGACCAGCAUAUGUCUAAUGUGGAGUACCAAACUAUCCUUCGUUACCGCCUCAUGAUUCCUCUAUUCUCGAUUGACGAGAUAUGCCUAGUUUGCUGCAAGGCAUUUUGGAUACAUGUAGGGAACAUGCAGUUCUUUGUACCUACAUGAUGUGGUUAGGGAUGUUCUCUUUGAUGUUUGUCGGCUGCUGAUAUUUUCGUGAAGAAAGAAAUGUUAGUGAACUUUUUGACGGACCCACUGGAUGGAAGAUCCACACUCAGGCCGACUGACAUUUUGGUCUUUAGAUAUGUAGGAGGGAAGCACGCUUGUGUGGAUCUUAUUGGGGUCUCCCCUUUCGUCGGUUUGAGAUGCGGGGGUUUCACAGUAGAGCAUGUCGCUUUGAAAGCUGCUGCAUGCAAAGUGGCAAAGCACGAGAAUGCAUGCAUAGAAAAUCACAUGUGCUUAUACCUUUUGCAUUUGAUACUUUUGGUUUUAUCGAACCAAAGACGAUGAAACUCCUCAACAAAGUUUAACAGAUCAUGCAUUAUAAUGUUAUAUCUUCAACAUCCACGUAUGUUGUUUUCAAAAGAAUUAGUUUUGUCAUUCAGAAAAAUUUAAUAACACAACUUAUUGUCCAUUUGCUUUCCGUCUAUAUGCAAUGAUUUUUUUUUUUUUUUAUCAUCAAUUUAAAUUGGAAUUUGAUUUAUUCAAAUGUAUUAUUUUCAAAACAAAUCAAAUGGUUAACAUUGAUUUACUCAAGUAAGCCGAUACAAGCCCAUUGGGUCAAAAGAACGGGGUUCAUCCAUUGAUUCCAUUCUAUGAUUAUAUCCUAACACCAUCUGACGGCUCACAAAGCAUCACCAUCAUCACAAAGACCUCCAUCCUUCUCUUAUAAUAAGCCUCUUCACCUCGCCACAUCAACAAGUAACCCUAGCUAAACAUACAACCAUCAUCAAGUCACACCCCCUUCAACCCUCUCAAAUCUAGGGUUUUUUUUUUGUCUAAAUUUCAAAUGUCAAGACAUCAUAGAUUUGUAGCUCUCGUAGCCGACGAUUUACAAAAAUUUGGGGCGAAAUAGUUGAUGUUCGUAAAACUCAAUGGUAAAUCGUCGCAAAUCGAGCCGUCUCUGUGAUCACAGCGGUUGAGCCGCCCUUCGCCGGGCGGUUCCCGUUAACCGGAGAAGGCGUUGUCACAUCCUAUCGCCUUGGGGAGCGGAGUCUCUGCAAUUACCUCUUGGGAUUGGCCGUGAGAAAGACAUUCACUAAUCGUUUGAAUUCCAUACUUGAAAUCGGCCUGUGAUGAAAUCUAUUUAAAAGAACACCAUCUUUCGGGACUGAAUGGUCUUUCUCGAGAUCUUGAUGUCAAUUCUGCAAUUCUGAGGCCAUUUUUCUGUGAUUUUUUUUUAAUUUAAAAUGUUGUAACAAAUGCGUACUGUAUUUGAAUUCGAAUGUGGAUUCAAGUACCAAUAAUCAUCAUUCAUCAAAUUCCUUUUGCUAUCAGAAUGAAGAAUUUUUUCAAACAAUAUGAACACUUUCCUGAAUUUCUGUCUUUCAUAAAAUGCAUCGAUGAAACUCUGAAUUCUCAAUUGAUAGCUUGUUUGUUACCGAUUAUUUACAAAAUGUUUGGGGCAAGUUAGUUUAUAUUAGAAUAGUAUGUCCUUUUGGGCUAUUAAAUGAUCCCAUGUUAAUAUUUUAGAGCACAAUGCACAAAAUCAAAUUUAUGCAUGAACAAAUCCGGUGUCGUUUUCCUCAAGCUUUCGUGAUUUCACCAUCAUAUUACAUGUAUAUCAAAGUGAAUGUUUCCAUAUCCAUUUUUGAUUAAAUGUUUAUUGCAUAAUAGCAUUGAAAAUGUAGACACUGUGUAGAAAAUGGACUUUUAGGUUAAAAAGCAUUCCCAAACGCCACUAAAAGCAAAUACUUUAUUUAAAACAAAGCCUAAAACAUAUUCAUGCUUUAAACAAAUACUUUUACUUUAAUGAAUCAGAAAUAUUAUGAAUUUAAGUAGGCAUGUUUACUUGUAUAUAUAACUAUUAACAUUUUAAUAAUAUUUUUAUUUGUUCACUUUGGGUUUAGCGGCCUUGAAGGUUGUAUCUUUGAAUAUAGUUGUAUUAUCUUUUUUAGAAUUUUGUAGCUUUGUUUGUGGUUAAUGGUGCCAUUAGAAAUUUGAAGUAUACUACCUAAACAACAUUAGGAGUUGGAUCAUUUUUUGUUAGAAUGUCUAAUAACCGUAGAUCACAAACAUCUCUUACCAUCUUUUUUGCCAUAAAAAAGGUUGUUUGUGAUUUGGAGUGGUUAGACAUGAAAGACGAUCAAUUCCAUGUUUGCUUGAUUUGAAGUCUAUAUAUAAUUUCUAAGACCAUCCAUAUGAAAUCAAUGAAUGAGUUUAAUGAGUUGAAAUGUCUAGUUAUAAUUUCUAAGACCAUCUUAUUGUGAUGUAAUUUUAUCGUAAUGAGAUUUUAUCUCGAUAGAUUUGGAGGUUAAUGGUCAUUGAGUUAUUUAAUGAAAAAAGGAAAAGUUUUUUAAUUUUAAAUAUUUAUUAUAAAUCAAUUUUUGUAUCUUUUUAUUGAAAUUUGUAGAGUUUAAUGCAUAAUAGGAUAAGAUGAUAGAGUUAUAUGGAGUGUAAAAAAAUUAUGUGAUAUUCCAUUAAGUUUUAUGGACUUCAAUGCAUUGUGGAUACCAUAAGACUUCAAAGCAAGUGUGAAAGUCUAUGUGGCAUCCCAAGGGAAGCUUCAAAUCAAGUGUGGAUAACUUGAUGCUUCAAAUCAAGUGUGAAAGUCUAUGUGGCAUCCCAAGGGACGUUGGAACCCCCAAGGGUCUAGUUUGGCAUCUCCAUGAGGACGAAUGAAAACACCUUAUAAGAAAUUAGCGGCAACAUCGAUCAUUCUUUUUUUUUUCUUUUUUCUUUCUACCUCUUCACCACCAAUCUACCGGCGAACAUCAUUUCUACUACCUAGUCGAUUAGUUGUGGAAUGGUAAAAAAUCUAUGUGACCGUAGGGUUGUGCCAUUUGCGACUUCGGCAUUUGAAUUGUGAAGAUACAAACAAGUAAAGUAGGGUUGUGCAUUGUGGGUUGUAUGUUCGCAGAUGGAAUUCAAUUUGUUACUAUUUUUUUGUACACAUAAAGAUAGUUCUUGUAGCCGACGAUUUACAAAAUAUUGGGGCGAAAUAGUUGAUAUUCGUAAAACUCAAUGGUAAAUCGUUGCAAAUCUAGCCGUCUUUGUGAUCACAGCGGUUGAGCCGCCCUUUGCCGGGCAGUCCCCGUUAACCGGAGAAGGCGUUGUCACAUCCUAUCGCCUUGGGGAGCGGAGUCUCUGCAAUUACCUCUUGGGAUUGGCCGUGAGAAAGACAUUCACCAAUCGUUUAAAUUCCAUACUUGAAAUCGGCCUGUGAUGAAAUCUAUUUAAAAGAACACCAUCUUUCGGGACUGAAUGGUCUUUCUCGAGAUCUUGAUGUCAAUUCUGCAAUUCUGAG